CCGGACUAAGCCUUUAUGUCUGCUAGUAACACUCAUUUGGUCAUCAAAAUUCUUGUUGUUGGUGACUCUGGCGUUGGGAAGACCUCCCUUGUAAAUGGAAUCUGUCAUCAGGAAAUCUUACACUUCCCCAAGACCACUAUCGGAUGCUCAAUUGAUGUUUUGAUUCACACUGUAGACGAAAGAUCCUACGACAUUGAACUUUGGGAUAUUGCGGGAUCUGCCUGUUAUAGAAAAAGCCGGUUUAUUUUCUACGACCAUUUCGAUGGAAUUAUAUUGGUCCAUGAUGUCACGAAUAGAAAAUCCUAUGAAAAUCUAGACGAAUGGCUCAAAGAAAUUUAUGCUGCAAGUCCUCAAAAUCACAGCCAUUUCUACAGCAGAAAUCUUAUUAGUGAGAGAAUUCCUUCAUGCCGACCAAGCACGCGGGACCCUGAACUAGGCGAGGGCGACAGGAGUUGGGUCCCGAUGAUCUUGGUGGGCACUAAAGCAGACUUGGAUAGUGGUCGUUUCUUGCUGCUCUCUGCGUCCCUCCUCUUCUUGCUUUCAUGCUUUUAUUUCUUAAAGGACAGAAAGUUUCGAAUAGCUUUUUUCUAGGAGGCGAUGGGAUUGUAGUGGUUUGCUUUUCUGUCUCGUUUAUGUUCUUUUUAUAAAACCGAAAUUGUUUACAAGGAAAGAAAAGUUAAUGCCUUUUUAGGUUAAAUAAUAGGAAAAUAUUAGCAAUUGAGUAGAAAGAAUCUUUAUAGUAUCCCGUUAACUGCGGCGUUCAUUUAAUGAAUGGAUGCGCAUAUUAAUAAAGAAUUCAGUUACUGAUUGGUCCGGCAGGGUAAUUGCAAACUUCGUCUAGCAGGCGCUCCGUUUCGUGUUUGCUAUAAAACUUUAGCGGAUUGAAUCGGGAUUGUUUUUCUGAGAAUAGUGGAUUUAUGAAAA